UCAGCCAAAACCCUGGGAAAUCCUGUAAUUGGAAGAGGUUAGAGAAACUAAUCCACCAAAAAAAAAAAAAAAUUGAGAGCAAAAGCCAUCACGAAGAGUUAAAAAGAAAAGAGGAAGGCUCUUAAAUUGAAGAGUGGUGGAUAGAAAUGUUUAGAAGAAGCAGGUUUCUCUCUUUCCCGAUGGUGAUUGGAGCAGUCAUAAUUGGAGUCGUUUCUGGGAAGGCAAUAUUUGGACCUCCCCUUGAUGAGUACUGGAGAAAGAAGCUUCAAGAAGAGGCUGCUGCAAAGGAGAAUGAGGCAAACUCAACUUAGCUGAUGUCUGUAUUAAAAUUUUUUCUGAUCUGGUUGUUUCUGAAUAGUGGAAAAGGGAAGUUCUCCAUCCAGUUUGCCUUUGAAGAUGCUUAAGCUUUGUUCAGACAUUCGAUGCUAUUCUUGAUGUUAGUCGAGCCAGAAGUUAUGAAUGUAUGAAAAGCUGAUACAUGAAUGCAUUUUGUUCACAACAGUAGUGGUUAUAGGAUUGGUUUCUUCUGUAUACAUCUUUUGCUAUUAAGGGAUGAAAACUUGAAAAUAAUAAUUUUUUUUUUGACAA